UACGUAGGGGGCUAGCGUUGUCCGGAAUCAUUGGGCGUAAAGCGCGCGUAGGCGGCCCGGUAAGUCCACUGUGAAAGUCAAAGGCUCAACCUUUGAAUGUCAGUGGAUACUGCCGGGCUAGAGUCCGGAAGAGGCGAGUGGAAUUCCUGGUGUAGCGGUGGAAUGCGCAGAUAUCAGGAGGAACACCAACGGCGAAGGCAGCUCGCUGGGACGGUACUGACGCUGAGGCGCGAAAGCGUGGGGGAGCGAACAGG
rnacentral:rRNA from 1 species